rnacentral:rRNA from 1 species
UGAGGAAUAUUGGACAAUGGGCGGGAGCCUGAUCCAGCCAUGCCGCGUGCAGGAAGACUGCCCUAUGGGUUGUAAACUGCUUUUAUAGAGGAAGAAUAACCUCGACGAGUUCGAGGGAUGACGGUACUCUACGAAUAAGGAUCGGCUAACUCCGUGCCAGCAGCCGCGGUAAUACGGAGGAUCCAAGCGUUAUCCGGAAUCAUUGGGUUUAAAGGGUCCGUAGGCGGGAUUAUAAGUCAGUGGUGAAAGUUUUCGGCUCAACCGAGAAAUUGCCAUUGAUACUGUAGUUCUUGAAUUAUUAGGAAGUGGUUAGAAUGUGUAGUGUAGCGGUGAAAUGCAUAGAUAUUACACAGAAUACCGAUUGCGAAGGCAGAUCACUACUAGUAUAUUGACGCUAAGGGACGAAAGCGUGGGUAGCGAACAGGAUUAGAUACCCCUGUAGUCC